AGGUGGGGAUGACGUCAAAUCAUCAUGCCCUUUAUGUCCUGGGCUACACACGUACUACAAUGGCUGUAACAGAGAGAAGCAACACCGCGAGGUAGAGCGAAACUCCAAAAGCAGUCUCAGUUCGGAUUGAAGGCUGAAAUUCGCCUUCAUGAAGCCGGAAUUGCUAGUAAUGGCAGGUCAGCAUACUGCCGUGAAUACGUUCCCGGGCCUUGUACACACCGCCCGUCACACCAUGAGAGUUGGGAAUACCCGAAGCCUGUGAGCCAACUGUAAAGAGGCAGCAGUCGAAGGUAGAAUCAAUGAUUGGGGUGAAGUCGUAAC
rnacentral:rRNA from 1 species